GCGGGGGUACCCGAGUCAGGCCAAAGGGGCAGGACUUAAGCACAUCCUGUGGCGUAGGCCUUCGUGGGUUCGAAUCCCACCCCCCGCA
rnacentral:tRNA from 1 species